rnacentral:rRNA from 1 species
AUUAGAUACCCUGGUAGUCCACGCCGUAAACGAUGGAUACUAGGUGUGGGGGGACUGACCCCCUCCGUGCCGCAGCCAACGCAAUAAGUAUCCCACCUGGGGAGUACGAUCGCAAGGUUGAAACUCAAAGGAAUUGACGGGGGCCCGCACAAGCGGUGGAGUAUGUGGUUUAAUUCGACGCAACGCGAAGAACCUUACCAGGGCUUGACAUCCUACUAACGAACCAGAGAUGGAUUAGGUGCCCUUCGGGGAAAGUAGAGACAGGUGGUGCAUGGUUGUCGUCAGCUCGUGUCGUGAGAUGUUGGGUUAAGUCCCGCAACGAGCGCAACCCUUGUUAUUAGUUGCCAGCAUUAAGUUGGGCACUCUAAUGAGACUGCCGGUGACAAACCGGAGGAAGGUGGGGAUGACGUCAAGUCAUCAUGCCCCUUAUGACCUGGGCUACACACGUGCUACAAUGGGCAGUACAACGAGAAGCGAGCCUGCGAAGGCAAGCGGAUCUCUUAAAGCUGUUCUCAGUUCGGACUGCAGUCUGCAACUCGACUGCACGAAGCUGGAAUCGCUAGUAAUCGCGGAUCAGCACGCCGCGGUGAAUACGUUCCCGGGCCUUGUACACACCGCCCGUCACACCAUGGAAGUCUGCAAUGCCCGAAGCCGGUGGCCUAACCACUUAUGUGGAAGGAGCCGUCUAAGGCAGGGCAGAUGACUGGGGUGAAGUCGUAACAAGGUAAC